rnacentral:rRNA from 1 species
CGGAGGAUCCAAGCGUUAUCCGGAAUCAUUGGGUUUAAAGGGUCCGUAGGCGGGUUUAUAAGUCAGUGGUGAAAGCCCAUCGCUCAACGAUGGAACGGCCAUUGAUACUGUAGAUCUUGAAUUAUUAGGAAGUAACUAGAAUAUGUAGUGUAGCGGUGAAAUGCUUAGAGAUUACAUGGAAUACCAAUUGCGAAGGCAGGUUACUACUAAUGGAUUGACGCUGAUGGACGAAAGCGUGGGUAGCGAACAGGAUUAGAUACCCUGGUAGUCCACGCCGUAAACGAUGGAUACUAGCUGUUCGGAGCAAUCUGAGUGGCUAAGCGAAAGUGAUAAGUAUCCCACCUGGGGAGUACGUUCGCAAGAGUG